rnacentral:tRNA from 1 species
GGGGUUGUGGCUCAGUGGUAGAGUGCUUGCCUAGUAUGCAUGAAGCAGUGGGUAUGAUUUUCAGCACCA